UUUCCGUAGGUGAACCUGCGGAAGGAUCAUUACAGAGUUCAUGCCCUCACGGGUAGAUCUCCCACCCUUGAAUAUUUAUACCUUAGUUGCUUGGGCAGGCCGUGGAAACACCAUGGGCUCCGGCUUAUGCGUGCCUGCCAGAGGAAACAAACUCUGUUUUUAGUGAUGUCUGAGUACUAUAUAAUAGUUAAAACUUUCAACAACGGAUCUCUUGGUUCUG
rnacentral:misc_RNA from 1 species